AACGCACGAGACCUGCGGACCUGCGGAAGGAUCAUUAAAUAAAAAACACAAAAAUUAUCCACUUACUGACUUGGGUCGUUCUUCUCUGUAACGGGGGAGAAUACCUGUCAGCAAAGCACCGUGAUGUGUUAAAGUCCAUAACCCUUUUUUUUCAUUAAAAAGGGGUAACUUUAUAAAACCCAUCAAAUAAACUAGCCUAAAAAGCGAGAAAAAGGGUGAAAAGUGAGAAGAAGAGUAUCC
rnacentral:misc_RNA from 1 species